UACGGAGGGUGCAAGCGUUAUCCGGAUUCACUGGGUUUAAAGGGUGCGUAGGUGGACUAGUAAGUCCGUGGUGAAAUCCCUGAGCUUAACUUGGGAACUGCCAUUGAUACUAUUAGUCUUGAAUAUCGUGGAGGUAAGCGGAAUAUGUCAUGUAGCGGUGAAAUGCUUAGAUAUGACAUAGAACACCAAUUGCGAAGGCAGCUUGCUACACGGUCAUUGACACUGAGGCACGAAAGCGUGGGGAGCAAACAGG
rnacentral:rRNA from 1 species